rnacentral:rRNA from 1 species
GUGGGGAAUCUUAGACAAUGGGGGAAACCCUGAUCUAGCCAUGCCGCGUGAGCGAUGAUGGCCUUAGGGUUGUAAAGCUCUUUCAGCUGGGCAGAUAAUGACGGUACCAGCAGAAGAAGCCCCGGCUAACUCCGUGCCAGCAGCCGCGGUAAUACGGAGGGGGCUAGCGUUGUUCGGAAUUACUGGGCGUAAAGCGCGCGUAGGCGGACCAGAAAGUUGGAGGUGAAAUCCCAGGGCUCAACCUUGGAACUGCCUUCAAGACUACUGGUCUGGAGUUCGAGAGAGGUGAGUGGAAUUCCGAGUGUAGAGGUGAAAUGCGUAGAUAUUCGGAGGAACACCAGUGGCGAAGGCGGCUCACUAGCUAGAUACUGACGCUGAGGUGCGAAAGCGUGGGGAGCAAACAGGAUUAGAUACCCGGGUAGUCC